GGGCCCGCACAAGCGGUGGAGCAUGUGGUUUAAUUCGAUGAUACGCGAGGAACCUUACCAGGGCUUAAAUGUAAGUUGCAUAAGUUAGAGAUAGCUUUUUCUUCGGACUACUUACAAGGUGCUGCAUGGUUGUCGUCAGCUCGUGCCGUGAGGUGUCAGGUUAAGUCCUAUAACGAGCGCAACCCCUGUUGUUAGUUGCCAUCGAGUCAUGUCGGGAACUCUAACAAGACUGCCGGUGCAAACCGUGAGGAAGGUGGGGAUGACGUCAAAUCAUCACGGCCCUUACGUCCUGGGCUACACACGUGCUACAAUGGCCGGUACAGAGAGCAGCCACUACGCGAGUAGGCGCGAAUCUUCAAAGCCGGUCUCAGUUCGGAUCGGAGUCUGCAACUCGACUGCGUGAAGUCGGAAUC
rnacentral:rRNA from 1 species